rnacentral:rRNA from 1 species
GGGCUGCAGUAUUUUGACUGUACAAAGGUAGCAUAAUCAAUAGUCUCUUAAUUGGUGACUUGUAUGAAAGAUUGGAUGAAAUAUAAACUGUCUCUAAUUGAUUUAUAAAAAUUAAUUUUUUAGUAAAAAAGCUAAAAUAAUUUUAAAAGACGAGAAGACCCUAUAGAGUUUAAUAUUUUAUUUAAUAAUUAUUAAUAUAUAUAUAAUUUUAAAAAUUAAAAUUAAAUAAAUUAUUUUGUUGGGGUGAUAAAAAAAUUAAAUUAACUUUUUUUGAUUAUAAACAUUAAUUUAUGGUUAAGUGAUCCAUUUAUAGUGAUUAAAAGAAAAAAUUACCUUAGGGAUAACAGCGUAAUUUUUUUUUUUAGUUCAAAUAGGAAAAAAAGUUUGCGACCUCGAUGUUGGAUUAA